rnacentral:rRNA from 1 species
UACGGAGGGUGCAAGCGUUAUCCGGAUUCACUGGGUUUAAAGGGUGUCGUAGGAGGGCAGGUAAGUCAGUGGUGAAAUCUCCGAGCUUAACUUGGAACUGCCGUUGAUACUAUCUGCCUUGAAUAUUGUGGAGGUGAGCGGAAUAUGUCAUGUAGCGGUGAAAUGCUUAGAUAUGACAUAGAACACCAAUUGCGAAGGCAGCUCGCUACACAUAUAUUGACUCUGAGGCACGAAAGCGUGGGGAUCAAACAGG